GACAUUUUUGAAUUACUUCUCCAGGUUGAACAAGAUCCCAGAGGUUCCCAGGAGUGUUCACGUCACGUCUGCUGAGCCAGCGCCACAGCACAAGAUGGCCGCCAGCCCAGCGCCACAGCACAAGAUGGCCGCCAGCCCAGCGCCACAGCACAAGAUGGCCGCCAGCCCAGCACCACAGCACAGGAUGGUUGACUCAACGCCUGAGUCUUCCGUCAAGGAGCCACCGGCUCGCCAUCAUAGAGGGCGGAGGAGGAGGAGACAGGCGUCAGCCGUUCCUCAAAGCCCGGAGGGGGGUCUCGAGCAGGCCGCUGCCGUCCAGGAGGACGUUCCAGAGCGGGCCGCUGCCGUCCAGGAGGACGUUCCAGAGCGGGCCGCUGCCGUCCAGGAGGACGUUCCCGAGCAGGCCGCUGCCGUCCAGGAGGACGUUCCCGAGCAGGCCGCUGUCGUCCAGGUGGACGUGCCCGAGGUUCCCGAGGCGGUGCCUGAUGCCGAGGCGGUGCCCGAAGCGGUGCCUGAUGCGGUGGCCGAGGCGGUUCCCGAUGCAAUGUCCGAUGCCGAGGCGGUGCCCGAGGCGGUUCCCGAUGUAAUGCCCGAGACCGAGGCUGUUCCGGAGGUCGAGGCGGUGCCCGAUGUUGUUCCCGAUGCCAAGGCGGUGACCGAUGCCGUUCCUGAGACCGUUCCUGAGACCGUUCCCGAGGCGGUGCCCGAUGCCGAGGUCGUUCCCGAGGCGGUGUCCUUGUCCGAUGCCAUUCCUGAGGCCGUUCCUGAGACCGUUCCCGAGGCGGUGCCCGAUGCCGAGGUCGUUCCCGAGGCGGUGUCCUUGUCCGAUGCCGUUCCCGAGGCCAUUCCCGAGGCGGUGCCCGAUGCCGAGGUCGUUCCCGAGGCGGUGUCCUUGUCCGAUGCCGUUCCUGAGGCCAUUCCCGAGGCGGUGCCCGAUGCUGUUCCGGGAGGCCGAUGCGGGGCCCGAGAUGGUUCCGGAGGCGAUACCCGUGUCCAAGGCCGUUCCCGAGGCGGUGCCCUUGUCUGAGGCCGUUCCCGAUGCCGUUCCCAAGGCCGUGACCGGGCCAUCGCCACAGCCUGCUCCUUACUGGCUCCCCGAUUGGCUGGUUCCGUUCGGGUCACUCAAAUGGCGAAUUCCUCCC
ensembl:lncRNA